rnacentral:misc_RNA from 1 species
UCUCCCUACCUUGAGCGGUGU